CCGCUAUGAGGCAUCACAUAACUAAUAAUUUAUGUAAAAAUAAUGGUGAAUGCAAUCAUAUAGAUUAACAAUUAGUAAGACAGCUUAUGCGAAACCAAAAGAAAGGGGGGGAAACUUAGGCAUCAACCAUGGGACAUAUAAUAUGUAAUCCACAAUUUUUAAAUAAACGGGUAGCUAUGGCAUUCUCUGCUUGUAAAAGGGUACCUAGGCAACAUAAAAAGUUUCAAGACCACCAGAGUGUCUGCGCCUCGGCCCCUGUCUUGAGCGGUCAUCUCCCAGUCUUGUAAUUUGCAGGUUAGCCGGGAGCUGUAUUGGUCAGUGUCCCGAUCACAGUCAGCCGACUCCCACAUCUGGGAAACGGAAACCCCGGUAGUGAGGGUAUAUGGAGGCUUGCCAGGUGCACCGAUGGUGAGGGUAGGACUGGUGCCCCAUCAAAGCUCCGUCUGCGGUGAUCCUUGUCGGGGUUCUCUGCCUGUUACGCUUUCUGGUAGCCCGCUUUGCUGUAUGUUGGUCAUCCUCACGGCAGGCAUCCUGAGUUCUCCUGUGUUGGGUUGCGCUCUGCUGGUCGGAGGUUGUCGGGGCCAUUGUGUGCGGAGCAGGUUGUGCAUGUUGGUGGGUCCCGCUCUGGUUUGCUGGAGCGCGGGUGCUGGCGCCCGAGGUUUCCCGCCCUUGCGGUUGCCAUUGCUUGCUUGGUCGGAUGGCUGCCCCGAAGGCCCGCAGUGGGAGUCCAUAAUGGCGGCGGCGGGUCACCGGGCGGAUCCACGAGGCCACAAUUUGAGCUGCUAGAGGGUAGGACACUCCCCUGUCGCAUGAGAUCAUGUGAAAGCUCGAGCAGAGAUGGUCUAGAGCUUCCAAGGGGUGAGCAUAUGUAUGGUUGCCAGUGUUCCCUCUCUUUGGUCCCUGCUGGGCGGCCAUCUUGGAUGUGCCCCUGCAGGCUGGUGCCCCUGCUGGCUGUGUAGCCAUGGUCACUCGCUUUCUGUGUUUGUUCGCUUGGUUAGUGGGGACUGGGAUAACCCCCGCCAGUCCGGGGGGGGGGGAGAUCAGGAACGCUGCUGGGGGGAUCCGGUGCCGAAGAGAACGGCCACUCCCCGGCUCCCACUCCUGUAGGCCGCAGGUUGCGUUUCGGGUUCUGGGCUCCGACAGGCUCCAAAAAGGUAUCUGUCGAUUCUGUGGUGCACCCCCAGUGUGGGUAGCGCACCCCAGUGUGUCUUUGGGCUGAGUAGCCGUCGAUAUUGCAGUUUAUUCUGCCCGCCCGGCAGGAGCUCUUUUCCCGCACGUCUGUUCAGCCUAGCGGUCAGACUCCGCCCCC